rnacentral:rRNA from 1 species
ACUCCUACGGGAGGCAGCAGUGGGGAAUAUUGCACAAUGGGCGCAAGCCUGAUGCAGCCAUGCCGCGUGUGUGAAGAAGGCCUUCGGGUUGUAAAGCACUUUCAGUCGUGAGGAAGGUAGUGUAGUUAAUAGCUGCAUUAUUUGACGUUAGCGACAGAAGAAGCACCGGCUAACUCCGUGCCAGCAGCCGCGGUAAUACGGAGGGUGCGAGCGUUAAUCGGAAUUACUGGGCGUAAAGCGCAUGCAGGUGGUUUGUUAAGUCAGAUGUGAAAGCCCGGGGCUCAACCUCGGAAUAGCAUUUGAAACUGGCAGACUAGAGUACUGUAGAGGGGGUAGAAUUUCAGGUGUAGCGGUGAAAUGCGUAGAGAUCUGAAGGAAUACCGGUGGCGAAGGCGGCCCCCUGGACAGAUACUGACACUCAGAUGCGAAAGCGUGGGGAGCAAACAGGAUUAGAUACCCUGGUAGGACAGCG